UACAGAGGGUGCGAGCGUUAAUCGGAAUUACUGGGCGUAAAGCGCGUGUAGGCGGUUUCGUGUGUCUGAUGUGAAAUCCCCGGGCUCAACCCGGGAAGUGCAUUGGAAGCUGCGAGACUAGAGUCCCGGAGAGGAAGGUGGAAUUCCAGGUGUAGCGGUGAAAUGCGUAGAUAUCUGGAAGAACACCGGUGGCGAAGGCGGCCUUCUGGACGGUGACUGACGCUGAGACGCGAAAGCGUGGGGAGCAAACAGG
rnacentral:rRNA from 1 species